AUUGAACGCUGGCGGCAGGCCUAACACAUGCAAGUCGAACGAGUGGCGGACGGGUGAGUAAUGUCUGGGAAACUGCCUGAUGGAGGGGGAUAACUACUGGAAACGGUAGCUAAUACCGCAUACCAUCAGAUGUGCCCAGAUGGGAUUAGCUUGUUGGUGGGGUAACGGCUCACCUAGGCGACGAUCCCUAGCUGGUCGGAGAGGAUGACCGGCCACACUGGAACUGAGACACGGGCCAGACGCCUACGGGAGGCAGCAGUGGGGAAUAUUGGGCAAUGGGCGAAAGCCUGAUGCAGCCAUGCCGCGUGUGUGAAGAAGGCCUUCGGGUUGUAAAGCACUUUCAGCGGGGAGGCGUUACCCGCAGAAGAAGCAACGGCUAACUCCGUGCCAGCAGCCGCGGUAAUUC
rnacentral:rRNA from 1 species